AUCAUGCUGUUUCAACUCCCUUCUAUAAAUUUUGUCAAAAAAAAAAAACUCCCUUCUAUAAAUAGCUUCAUCCCAUUCCAUCAACAUUCAUCCUUAACUUCAAUCUUGAUGAAAAGUUUCUAUGAAAUUUCAUUGUUUUCCUAUGUUUUAUUCCACAGCAGUGGUUGCACUGCGUCCAACACCUUGUUGUAACGACACCGCUGCCGUCACCCCUGCUGCCACUGUCACCGGCGGCUGUGGUGGUGUUACCACAAGGUGGAUGGACGCAUGGACAGUUCAUGGUGCAAUUAGGAAUAACUACCUUAAGGAGAAUAAUGAAAAUAAUAAAACUUUUAUCAUCAAAGCUAGGGAUGCAACUCUGUCAUUCUUAUAUUCCGUAAAUGCGCAUUGGAUCGGGUUCAAUUUUUGAGGAAGAAUCAAUCUAAUGGAGGGUCAAGAUUAUAUUCUCACCUGAUAUCCCAAUGGAGGCCCUUGUCUGGGUGCACUCUUUGAUGUUCCAACCACAAGUAAUUUUGGGUUUCAUCUAGUAUCAAUCAAGAAUCAUAGAGAGUCAAUGGUGGAACUACAAUUAGCUAUGCAAAAGCAAAGAAAGGGUGUCUCACUCAAGUAAGUUUGAUUUUGCAUCUUAUUUGAACUUACUUACACAAGCACCAGAAUAAGUGUGUAAUGAAAAUAACUUAUGACAUACCCAGGAGCAUGGUUGUCAAAAUCGGGAUCUCGAUAAAGAUCAUUAAGGUAUAGAAAAAUUGUAAAUCGUAAACUUUAACACAGAUAGUAAGAUCUCAACAAAUAGACAAAAUUAUAGAAAUAACUAGAAAAAUUACUUUAACAUAAAAUUCUCAUUAAUUUAAUCAUCAAUAGCAAAUAUUUUAUACAAAAAAACAUAAUAGAAGGAUUUGAUUUGAAUUUAUAGAAAAGAUAGAUGAAGGGAGGAAAUCGAUUCAUUGUAUGAUUAAUCGAUACAAAAUUCUCAUAGUUCUCGUGCCUUUUGUUUGCGGACAAUCUUUAUUUUACAACUCUCAAAAGCUCAUUUAAAAUAUUGCAAGUCCCAAAACUCUAAAAUAUGUGUGCACAAUAGUCAGGGUUAAUUAUGGAUCAGUUUAUAGGCCGAUUCCAAUUGUUUAAUGACAUGAUCGAAACAAGUCUAAAGCGGGUAAAAACAAAAAAUGGAUUGUUGGGAUCUCAAGAUCUCAUGAUAUAAAGAUCUUUCUCUAGGAGUUCACGCUCCAGCCAUAUCCAAGAUCUUUGUGCUACUUAAAUUGGCGGCCAGUUGCCAGAACGUAAGAUCGUAAGAUUUUGGGAGUUAGAGUGAGAUCCAGACAAUUAUGCCCAGGUGUUCUUUACGGUUUAUCUAAAAAAAAGUCAUGAUUAUUUAUGAAAAUAGCUUACAAUUUAUACCUAAACAAUUGAACCAUAUUUUCUUUUUGAUUAUCAAAACACUUAUGUAUUCAUUAAAAUUUGCCUAAUUGCAUGCUAUAUUUUAUUGCCACAUUUUAUUUCCUUUCAACUUAAGUUAAAAGUAGUCUUCCAAUGGUGUUAUUAAUUUUCUCACAAUAACUUAAGUAUGGUGCCUCCUAUAAAUAGCAAAUUAGACCAUGUGCAAUGGGUGUGUUUAGUUGAACUCAACAUGCAAAAUCUAUUUCAAUGGGUGUUUAGAGUAGUGUUGUGUGUGAGGUGGAAGAGAGAGGUGUUGAGAAAACUCAACACAAUUGAGGCUGACGCAGGGGGCAUGUGGCAGCUUCUGAUUGGCUGGCCAGAUUUUUAUCCAUUUAAUACUUUGAACUCAAUUAUUUCGUUGCAAAUUAUUUAUUUAUUUUUUAUUUUUACCAAAAUUCAUGAUUUUUUUUCUCUAUAAAUAGAGACUUGGUUCAUUUGAUUUGGACACAGAAAAAAAAACCAAGUAUUUCACUAUUUUAAUCUUAUUAUUAUCUUUCUAUUAGUGUUUAUUUUGAAGUUAAGUGUCUUUUUUUAGUGAAAUGGAUCCCAAUAAUCAUUUUAACACUCAAAAUUCUGCUAAUUUUCCAUUUAACCAAAAUCCCAACAAUUUUCAAAAUCCCAACAAUUAUCAAAAUCCCAACUAAUUUUGUUUUUAUUACAAAAAAUUAAAAAAUAAAUUGUUAAGUAUUUAUUAUUUUAAUUUAAUUUUAAUCGAUAAUUGUAAUUUUAUGUAAUUAUAAAAAUAAAAAUAAAAUUUAAAUAAGAAUAUGAAAAUAAAAAGUGGUGGAGUAGGGUGUUGAGUGAAAAACCAUUGGAGAAGGUAAAAGUUGAAUGAGUGUUGAGUUAUUAGGUAGAGGAGAGAGAAAAUGAUGUGGAGUGUUGGGAGUUAAAAAAGUGGGUGUUGAGUGUUGAAACCAUUGUAAAUGGUCUUAUAUACGAGUACCACCUCUAGAGUACCUAAUUUGUUUUUAGAAGCCUGCAUUUAAUAAGAUACAAAUUUAUGGCAUUUAGAUUUCAAACUUUGUUUUGAGUCAUUUAUUGUGCUAGCUAGUAUAGAGACAAAUGAAGUACUAAAAAAGGAAAAGAAUAAAUAGAGAUAAAGUUAUUUGUUUCUAUAUAGGAACUUCUUCAAUCAAUGCUACCUACCCAUCAGUUUGUACUAGUAACACCAUCAUAAAUACAAAGUUUGGUAGGUACACCAUUUUAAUUGAAAUCACGUCAAUAUAUAUAGAGGAGUCAUAUUUCAUUUUGUGAACUACCAUUCAAAAAGAAAUUCUACAUUCAGUGAAUCAUAAUAUAUUUUGAGUGAUUCUACUUUGAUAUUUACAUUGCUCUCUACAUUCUUUGAAUCAUGACAUCUCAAUAUUGUCCAGAUUUUCGUGUAAUAAUAAUGGAGAGUAAACAGCUUGUAAGUAUAUUAUAAAGAAAUAUGCUAAGAAAUAUGCUGCAUUGUA